AGACUAUUGAGUUCCAUAAGCAUGAUUUGUUAUGUCUGAAACUAAACACUCUAAAGGCAAAUGCUUUAUUUUGCAAGGGUUGUGUUUGUGAGAGGUGCCCGCCCGAUAUCUGCGAUGCAAAAUGAGGAAGCCUUAUGAAGAAAUCACCUUGUAAAGCCAUUGGUUCUGGUCAUCAGCCUCUAUCCAAUGCUUUCGUGAUGAUGCUGCUGAUCUAUUUGGGAAGUUGGCUGGCUCUCAAAGCAGAGUCUCUUCUCAAAGGCUGUUUCACAGCGAAAAUAUGCUCAGUGCAGCCGGGCGCAUGAAUGAAAGAGCCGCCGUUUGCUUCUAGUCUGGCAAAAUGCAGCAGAGAACUCAGCUCACCCUGUCCUUUUUGCUGUUCCAGCACCUUUUAGGCAAGGGCACAAGGCAGAGAUCAUCAAAUGAGGAAACUGAGACUGAGAGGGGAAGUCAAUUGAUUUUCAUUGUCCAACAACAAACAGGUAAUAAGUGGCAGAACCAGGAUUUGAACCCAGUCAUCCUGACUCCAAGAUCAGUAUCCUUGCUGCUACACUGUACUUGCCUCUUGUGCAUAAUGG
rnacentral:lncRNA from 1 species